rnacentral:rRNA from 1 species
AUUGAACGCUGGCGGCAGGCCUAACACAUGCAAGUCGAACGGUAACAGGAAGAAGCUUGCUUCUUUGCUGACGAGUGGCGGACGGGUGAGUAAUGUCUGGGAAACUGCCUGGUGGAGGGGAUAACUACUGGAAACGGUAGCUAAUACCGCAUAACGUCGCAAGACCAAAGAGGGGGACCUUCGGGCCUCUUGCCAUCGGAUGUGCCCAGAUGGGAUUAGCUAGUAGGUGGGGUAACGGCUCACCUAGGCGACGAUCCCUAGCUGGUCUGAGAGGAUGACCAGCCACACUGGAACUGAGACACGGUCCAGACUCCUACGGGAGGCAGCAGUGGGGAAUAUUGCACAAUGGGCGCAAGCCUGAUGCAGCCAUGCCGCGUGUAUGAAGAAGGCCUUCGGGUUGUAAAGUACUUUCAGCGGGGAGGAAGGGAGUAAAGUUAAUACCUUUGCUCAUUGACGUUACCCGCAGAAGAAGCACCGGCUAACUCCGUG